GGAAAAAUAAUUUACUAGCUAUUUUACAAUACUCCAUAAAAAGCACUGUUUGUUCCAUCUGCAGAACUGUGCGUGACACACGGUGAACCUGCAGUUAACAUCUGUUGAAUGAAUGAAUGAAAAUGUCUGUUCUCUGAGUAUGAAGAUUUCUAUGUAAGGAACACACCUGCACACGCUGCUCCGAAGAGAAUUCACUCUGUGACAACUCACUCUGUAAAUCUGUCAAUCUGAGCACCUGUUUGAGCAUACAGUUUGAUGAAGACUGAAAUCAGUCAGGUAAAUACCACUCCUGCUAAGACCUAUAUUAACACAGUUUAAUUAGCUGUAACCUUACAAUAAUCCUGACGCAAUUGCUGGCAAACUUGCUCCAUGCUUUAAAACAUAUAACCAGUGACUCGCCCGGUGAUUCCCACAUGGAUACAUUUUCCCUCUUUACCAGUGGGGUAGUGAGAUCCAGAGGCACAGUGAUCACUGUGCCAAGAGAGCAGGGCCCCAGGGGGUGCCAGCUCUGUGGUCGCAUGCAGCCCAGCCAGAAGGAUUCACUGCAGAUUCUUUGUGGUCCAGCCUAGCUCGGCUACAAGUUCCACUAACUUGGCCAGAGGUCAAAGAUGCACACUGGUCUGGCCUUGUCCUCUGCAAGUCUUCCAUCAAGAUUAUUUCAUUUCUAGCGGCCAGUACUUUCACUUAUCAGACUUCAACACAAUCUCUCCUGCGGUAAGCUCAUUAUCUUUUGGGUCAAUAGUUUUCUUCCUACCCCUAUUUGAACCCAAAAUUCAAAGGAACCCUUCACCUUCUCUCCUCCAGGGUAACAACCCAGUUUCCUUUAGUCUUUCAUCAUAAGUCCUAAGAGAGUUAAAAUGCCAAUAAAUCUGAAGAAGAGAAUUUGAUUUCCUGAGCACUGUCACUUUUAUACUAAUAAUGCAAUAGAUAAUUCAGAGAAGAACCAGUGGAUAGGUAGAGGAGGCUUGAGUUCUCUAAAGUGCUUAGCAAGAACUUAGUACACAUUUGAGAGGAAGCCAAUUUAAAUUUGUCACAAAACAGAAUCAAUGAGUGCAGUUGAACAUAUGCAUGCUUUUAAUAAAUAUGCACAGAUCAUCUGUAUUCUCUUUUUUUGGCAAGAAGUGGAUGGGAAAAAUAAAAAUGAUUAGAGCCUUU